rnacentral:rRNA from 1 species
GACAGCAGUAGCCACGGUAAUACGAAGGGGGCUAGCGUUGCUCGGAUUUACUGGGCGUAAAGGGUGCGUAGGCGGAUCGUUUAGUUGGGGGUGAAAGCCCGGGGCUCAACCUCGGAAUUGCCUUCAAUACUGGCGGUCUUGAGUAUGGAAGAGGUAAGUGGAACUCCGAGUGUAGAGGUGAAAUUCGUAGAUAUUCGGAAGAACACCGGUGGCGAAGGCGACUUACUGGUCCAUUACUGACGCUGAGGCACGAAAGCGUGGGGAGCAAACAGGAUUAGAUACCCCUGUAGUCCCUGUCUCUUAUAC